rnacentral:rRNA from 1 species
AACGAACGCUGGCGGCAUGCCUAACACAUGCAAGUCGAACGAGACCUUCGGGUCUAGUGGCGCACGGGUGCGUAACGCGUGGGAACCUGCCCUUAGGUUCGGAAUAACUCCCCGAAAGGGGUGCUAAUACCGGAUAAUGUCUUCGGACCAAAGAUUUAUCGCCUUUGGAUGGGCCCGCGUUGGAUUAGCUAGUUGGUAGGGUAAAAGCCUACCAAGGCGACGAUCCAUAGCUGGUCUGAGAGGAUGAUCAGCCACACUGGGACUGAGACACGGCCCAGACUCCUACGGGAGGCAGCAGUGGGGAAUAUUGGACAAUGGGCGAAAGGCUGAUCCAGCAAUGCCGCGUGAGUGAUGAAGGCCUUAGGGUUGUAAAGCUCUUUUACCCGGGAGGAUAAUGACAGUACCGGGAGAAUAAGCACCGGCUAACUCCGUG